rnacentral:rRNA from 1 species
GAUGAACGCUGGCGGCGUGCCUAAUACAUGCAAGUCGAGCGAACAGAUGAGGAGCUUGCUCCUUUGACGUUAGCGGCGGACGGGUGAGUAACACGUGGGUAACCUACCUAUAAGACUGGGAUAACUUCGGGAAACCGGAGCUAAUACCGGAUAACAUUUGGAACCGCAUGGUUCUAAAGUGAAAGAUGGUUUUGCUAUCACUUAUAGAUGGACCCGCGCCGUAUUAGCUAGUUGGUAAGGUAACGGCUUACCAAGGCGACGAUACGUAGCCGACCUGAGAGGGUGAUCGGCCACACUGGAACUGAGACACGGUCCAGACUCCUACGGGAGGCAGCAGUAGGGAAUCUUCCGCAAUGGGCGAAAGCCUGACGGAGCAACGCCGCGUGAGUGAUGAAGGGUUUCGGCUCGUAAAACUCUGUUAUUAGGGAAGAACAAAUGUGUAAGUAACUGUGCACGUCUUGACGGUACCUAAUCAGAAAGCCACGGCUAACUACGUG